UACGUAGGGUGCGAGCGUUGUCCGGAAUUACUGGGCGUAAAGAGCUCGUAGGUGGUUUGUCGCGUUGUCCGUGAAAACUCACAACUCAAUUGUGGGCGUGCGGGCGAUACGGGCAGACUGGAGUACUGCAGGGGAGACUGGAAUUCCUGGUGUAGCGGUGGAAUGCGCAGAUAUCAGGAGGAACACCGGUGGCGAAGGCAGAUCUCUGGGCCGUAACUGACGCUGAGGAGCGAAAGCAUGGGGAGCGAACAGG
rnacentral:rRNA from 1 species